rnacentral:rRNA from 1 species
UACAGAGGUCUCAAGCGUUGUUCGGAAUUACUGGGCGUAAAGGGCGCGUAGGCGGUUCGUUAAGUCCUGUGUGAAAUCCCCCGGCUCAACUGGGGAACUGCACAGGAAACUAGCGGGCUUGAGUUCGGGAGAGGGAAGCGGAAGUUCCGGGUGUAGCGGUGAAAUGCGUAGAGAUCAUGAGGAAGACCAGUGGCGAAGGCGGGUCUCUGGACAGUUCCUGACACUGAGACACGAAGGCCAGGGGAGCAAACGGG